CCUUCAAUUUUGUGAUUCUCUUCAAUUGGAACUUCUCAAGUCCUUUAUCCUAACUUUUUUAUUUUACUAAGGAGAUCAAGAACAUGUUUUCUUUUGGAGAUAAAUAUGCCCUUCUUGAAAUAAACAACUUCAAUUCCAAAGGGGAAAUGGACAUUGAUAUUGCUUUUGCUCAACAUGCUAUUGAUGAGUAUAAGGCUCGUGAUGAGGCUGCCAUGUCAGUUCAAGGAAAGAUGGUAGAUUCUCAACGUAAGAGCGAAGUUUGCUAGUCUCCCAGGCUUGUGUAUAAGCAAUGUUGGUUUUUUAUUUAUAAAACUAUAAACAUUUCCACAGAUUCUAUGUAUGCACUUGACAUGGUUGCUGGUGUGGUAAAUUUAUGUUUUUGUCAUUUAUCUACAAUGUAUUUUCUAAGUU